rnacentral:rRNA from 1 species
UUCUGUGGCCAUACCACCCUGAAUGCACCCGCUCUUGUUGGAUAUUGGGAGCUAGACAGAUCUGGCCUGGUUAGUACUUGGAUGAAAGAAUCACUGGAA